GCCGGUGCUUCCAACCAGCGUUUCCACAAUGGCUUCCCAGAAACCAAAGAACUCCACAUGGUGAACUUCCUUCAACUUGGAUCCCUGAGUGACUGCAUGGAUUCCUGAGUGACAGUAUGGACCAAUGAGUGACUGCAAUGGACAGGAAUUCUUUUAUCCAGAAGAUGUGUUGAUGAUGAAUACAUCCGAAGUUGGCGUCAUAUCCACAUAGAAAUGUGGAAAUGAGCCAUUCCAAAAGUCAGAUGAAAAUGCAUGAGAUAUAUUGUCCUCCUGGGGUUUCUGGAGUAAAACUAAACCCCAAACGCCACUCCAUGGGCUUCUGUCACCUUCCCAGAGCUCAUUUCCAAAAGGAAAUAACACCUGCCCCAAAGCUCCACCUGCCAAGGCCACCUCUCUGAACCUCCAGCUGCCGGGGGCUGACGGGAUAUCACCAUGAUGAAUGUCUCUGGAUUUUGAGAGUACAUGUGUAAUGAUUCGUGACUACUAAGACUCAGCUGAGUAAUGAUGAAGAAGGGAGAGGUAGAAACUGGAAAAAUACACCAACUAUUUCUUGUCAGAAAAGGUGGACCCACUGCCCGGUUCCUGCCAAUGUUACUAAAUUGUCUGGAAUAUCCUUUUUGGUCAAGGCACUGCCAGAAGUCGUGCUGGGAAAUGGUGAGAAAUCUUGAAACUGCCAGAUGCUUUGCUGCUGGGUGAGCCAAAGCGGCCCCGGGAAGGAAGACGCCAGGGUAUGAGGCCAAGUUGGUGUCCCAGCCUGGGUAUCAGGGACAAGCCUGCCUCUUUCCCAACAGAUGUGUGCCUGGGGCAGGUCUCUUCACUUCUUAGCUGUAAAAUGACAACUAUGAGCUAACCUAUUUCAAAACAUCAAAACAUCUACCAUUGCCUAAUUCCUAAAAUCCCCCUCCAAACCCAACUGAUCCAAAGGACAAUUUCAGAUAAUGUUGUAUAAUGAUAGGUCCACCACAGGACUAAUUGAACACAUAGGUAUUAGAUGUCUAUCAUUUUGAUCCACUCACUAUCCAUUCUCCUUUCUUUGCAUAACAAGACCCAGCAUUUUUUCUCUUAUCAUCUCUCUCUCUCUCUUUUUAAAUAUCUAUUUAUUUGUCUGCUCCCGGCCUUCCUUGUGGCAUGCAGAAUCUUUAGUUGCAGCAUGUGGGAUCUAAUUCCCUGAUUAGGGAUUGAACCUGGGUCCCCUGCAGUGGGAGUGCAGAGUCUUAGCCACUGGACAACCAGGGUAGUCCCUAUCACCCCUCUCCUGUUGUAUGGUAAAUGUGGGCUGACUACCACCACUGUAUUCUCCAGUAGGGGCAUGACCUAGUCCCAGCCAAUCAAAGCAUGCCCUCCUCUUGGUUAGUGAUAGGCUCAGGAAUGGACAUGUGACUCAGAUUAGACCAGUGAGAGUCAUUCCUGGGAGGAGUGCUGGAAGAAUGAGCAAAGUCUCUUUCUUGGUCCAGCCUGAAUUGAUAAAUUGGAAAGAUAGAAACCUGGAGCUUAUAUGCAGCCAUCUGUCUCACAGUGAAGACAGUCUAUUUCAGAAUGAAGCCAGCUAGCAGGAAGUAGAGCUGAGAGGGAGACAAAUAGAUUCAGCCAACAUGGCUUAUUCCUAUGGAUGCAAUCAUGGCUGGAACUAAUAGGUUUCUUAGUUUAUAUGAGAAAAUGUUCCUUAAAAAAUUUGCACAUGACCCUGAAUAGGAUUUUUUUUUUUUUUUUUUUUUGGCAACCAAAGGAGUUCUGAAUAGAGUGGCCAAAUAAUAAGGAUAUGAGCACAAAUGCCUGUGGAUUUCCUCAGCUACACCUUUAGUAAGGAAAAGAUUUCAGGCUGUAGGGGACCUUGAUUCUUGCCUCAGUUUUGCAGUACUGAUGAUGUGGCUGAGCAAAUAGUUUGCCCAGUCUGUGCUUCAGGUACUUUUUCCAUCAACUAGUAAAACUUGGAUAAGGUGGUGAAAGGCUCGGGGUGAUACCAUGAUCAUUUGGUUACAAGAAGUAGAAACCGUUGAAAUUAACUGAAGAGAAAAGAGAAGGAUCUAGGAAGCCCUCAAAUUGCACAUAGUAAUAUAAUUUGGACUCACAAAGGCCUGAUUUCCAUUAUCCUUUCCUCUGGGUACUCAGGACAUCUCCAAUCACAACUCUUACUUUCUUUUCUCUCUUUGUAGAGGGCUAUUCUUUGCUUUUAACAGUCUCCCCCAGUGUGGCAGUCCUAGUCUUAGCUUUCAAGUUUCAGCAGAGCCAAGUCAGUUAUCUCUGAGUCCCCAAUUCCAAAUUCCUAGGACAGAGAAGUUAGACUGACUCAACCUGGGCUGGGUGUCCAAUAUAUAAUCACCUUGCCAGCAUAUGCCAAUAUAUGAUAUGGCAUUCCCUUCUGGAACUGUGGAGGGCAACUCCUCCAAAGAAGAGUAGGUAAGAAAGAGCCUUGAAUAAUAAAUCAUGCAUGUUGUUGUUGGUGGUGGUUUAGUUGAUAAGUCAUGUCGAACUCUUGCAACCCCAUGGACUGUAGGCUGCCAGGCUCCUCUGUCCAUGGGAUAGUUGAUGCUUAAGACACACAGUUAUUUAUCCUCACUCUCCCCCCAACCUUCUCCUCCUCCUCCUCCUUCUCCUCUUUCUCUCUCUCUCCCUGUCCCUUUCCCGUUCUCUAUCUUCAUCAUCUUAAUGUUAGUAUCAGUGGUAUACAAGUUAGUUUUACCAUAAUCAUGAUUCCCUAAAAAGUUCUUCCUCAAUUUUGAAUGUGAAGCAAGGAAAAAAUAACUUACUUUUUAAACAUGAAUGCUAGAAAAGAUCCCCUUUAAUGCCUAGUUUCAUCUUUUAAUUUAAUAUAAUGAUAUCUGACCCACUUCCCUUGCAGAGCAGUUGGAAGACAGUAAUGGAUUUGAAAGAGUUUUGACAAUGUAAGCAUUGUCAUUACUGAGAACAUCCCCCUUUGUUCCCCACCCCCCAAAGUUACUAAUGACAACAUAGUAUUCUGUUUUUCUAGUACCCAGAAAAAAUAAGUACCAUUAUAAGGCUAAAUAAUUUCUCAAAAGAAACAUUGCAGAACCUCCUCCCCUUUCUUUUUCAACAAGAGGUUUUUCUCCAGUACAUUUUAGUAGGUCGUGGUAUAAUAGACCCCAAUAAGGGUCCUAAAACUUCCCUCUUGUCCCUUUGAAAUGGCCUAAUCUGCAAAACUCCAAACAGAGACCUGCUCCUUAUUACACUAUUAUUUAAUCAGGAUUCUGUCCAGACUCGGCCCUUGCAGACAGCAGCGGCGUCCAGUGCAGUGGGUGAUGGGAGGCUGGCCUCAGAAUAAACACCCUGGGAUUCCUGGGAUUUGGAGGCAGUCUCCACUGCCCUUGCACUCCCAUGGUCGGCAGAUCUGGGGUGCCGGGCAGCUUUAUUACAGCCUGGCACAGCCAAGGCAGCCACUCAGCCUGUCAACAGCCAGCAGCCAAGCCAAGAGCCUUCCAUCAGGGCCUGACACCUAUCCAAGUCCCCCAGUGGUUGCGAUGGGCACUUCCCCAGUGAGAACGAGGCCUGGACAAUGACGCUUUUGUGCUGGUGGUGACCUGGGUUCUGCCCAUUCUGGAUCUGAGCAGCCAGAGCCCAGGAGAUGGGUAAACCUGUUGAUGUUCAGGAUCCCCGUGCCAAGGGCUUUUCUGUGGAGGAAGUUCAAAGUCAAACAGACUGGGCUCAGAUGUUGUGUGAUCUUGGAGCUGCACUUAACCAGCCAUUGUAUUUCUCUGGAAAAUGGACAUCAUACCCACUUGGGGUUUUCUCUGGCUUAUGUACAAUAGUGUAUUAAAGCACCUAGUCCAAGGGGAAGGGAUAGUUAGGGAGUUUGGGAUGGACGUGUACACACUGCUAUAUUUAAAGUGGAUAACCAACAAGGACCUACUGUAUAGCACAGGGAACUCUACUCAAUGUUAUGAGGCAGCCUGGACAGGAGAGGGGAUUGAGGGAGAAUGGAUAGUUGUAUAGGAAUGGCUGAGUACCUUCACUGUUCUCCUGAAACUAUCACAACAUUUUUUACCAGCUAUACCCUAAUACAAAAUAAAAAGUUUUAAAAAUAAAGAACAGAUGAAUGAAUGAACACAACAGCAACAAAAAGCACCUAAUGAUAACCUGGGACAUAUCACCACUUCCAAAAUCAUCAGCUGUCAUUCUCAUGAGUGAACCUGAGGUUUUAAGCAGAGAUGCAGGUCCACACUCAUUUCUCUGUUUUAUCACACUCUAUGCUAGUCAGAAUUUUGAGCUGCACACAGCAAAUGUACAUCUGACAAAUUUAUGUUUUAGCCAAAAUUUGACUUUUUGCUUUUUUAAAAAAAUUUAGAAGUAUAACAUACACACAGAAAAUAUGCAUACAUGAUCAAUUUAACAAUGAAAUCAAAUACGCAUAUGACCAUCACCCAGGGCAAGGAAAAAAACUAUUGCUAGCACCCAGAAGCCUCCAAUGUCACGUCCUGAUUAUAACUACCUACAGUCUAUCUAGAAUUGACCAUGAAUCUAUCUUUUAUGAUAUUUUUCUCUUGCUUUUCUUCACAGUUUUGCCACCUAUAUAUGCAUCAUUGAACAACGUAGUUUACUAUGCUUGCUUUUAAAAUUCAUAAAAUGAAUCAUAGGUUAUGCAUUUUUUUUUUUUUUUGGUAGGGUGGUGAGGUUUGGAAGAUUUGCUGGUGCAUUUGCAUGUAGCUACAAUUUAUUCAUUUUCAUUGCUAUAGCAUAUUCCACUAAUCUUAACUUGUAUUUGACAGAGUUGUUAUCAAGCAGCCUGCUAGCUCCUAAGUGGUAGAAUGUCUCCAACAAUGAUCACUAUUGAAUGAAUCCUCCCUGUCUCUAUGGGUUGGUCAUCUCCUCCAAAGGUGGGGUGUUUUUUCCUCCCCUUCAACCUCUAUUGGCCUUUUUGACUUAGCUUGAUGGAUAGAACAGAAAAAAUGGAGUCCUGGGGCUUCUGAGUCCAGGCAGCUUCUACCUUUCUGAAGUCCAGUGAUCUCAAGCUCACCAUGCUGUGAGAAAGCCUGAGGACCUCAAAAGAAAGGCCAUGUGGGGAGAGAGCAUGAUGGCUACAUAGACCCCAGCUAUUCUACCCAUUCCUGCCAAAGCCCCAGUUGUUCAAGUUUUCACAUCUGUCUUAGACAUUCCAGCCGCAGCAGACUGGAGCAGACAUGGAGCAGAAGAACUGCACAGCUGAGCCCAGCCCAGAUGGCAGAGCUGUCAGCAAAAAUAAACUGUCCUUUUAAAGCUCCUCCAUUUUGGAGUGGUUUGUAACACAACAAUAGAUAACUAAGAGCAACUGUUCCUGUUCUGAACUCAACUGGGCAGAAUUUUUUUCCUCUCUCCCUCAGACUUAACAGUCCAUGUCUUUGCAAGUCUUACAUCUUUGCACAUUUCAAGUGACAUUAUUUAUAUCUUCAUACAUUUUUAAAUACAUUUGGCUUUGCCUCAUUUUUCAUCAUCCUCUUUGAUUCUCCUUUUAGACGUACACUCGUGUUUGGAAAAACAAUACUAUGUUUGUGUUUAGGUCCAUAGAUGACAUUAUGAAAGAAAAAUAAAGGAAAAGGUAUAAAAACUAUCACUAAAUGCAAAGAUUUAAGGUUAUGUUUUAUGAGUGUGUCUUGUUUCCAACAGAUGAGUCAUAUAGACGUGCACCAGAAUUGCCAUGUAGAACUAUUCUCAGGAAAAAUAAAAACAUUAAUUUAUUUGAGUAAGCAGAUACUGGUUUCACUUCAAAAAAAAAAAAAAAAGGAGGUACCAUCCUAUUAUACUGGCAGUAGAGGGUGG